GAUGAACGCUGGCGGCGUGCUUAACACAUGCAAGUCGAACGGAAAGGCUCCUGCUUGCAGGGGUACUCGAGUGGCGAACGGGUGAGUAACACGUGGGUGAUCUGCCCUGCACUUCGGGAUAAGCCUGGGAAACUGGGUCUAAUACCGGAUAGGACGAUGGGUUGGAUGCCAUUGUGGAAAGUAUUUCGGUGUGGGAUGAGCUCGCGGCCUAUCAGCUUGUUGGUGGGGUAAUGGCCUACCAAGGCGUCGACGGGUAGCCGGCCUGAGAGGGUGUACGGCCACAUUGGGACUGCGAGACGGCCCAGACUCCUACGUGAGGCAGAAGUGGGGAAUAUUGCACAAUGGGCGCAAGCCUGAUGCAGCGACGCCGCGUGGGUGAUGACGGCCUUCGGGUUGUAAACUCCUUUCGCUAGGGCUGAAGCGCAAGUGACGGUACCUGGAGAAGAAGCCCCGGCUAACUACGUG
rnacentral:rRNA from 1 species